rnacentral:rRNA from 1 species
GAUGAACGCUGGCGGCGUGCCUAAUACAUGCAAGUCGAGCGAACAGACGAGGAGCUUGCUCCUCUGACGUUAGCGGCGGACGGGUGAGUAACACGUGGAUAACCUACCUAUAAGACUGGGAUAACUUCGGGAAACCGGAUCUAAUACCGGAUAAUAUAUUGAACCGCAUGGUUCAAUAGUGAAAGACGGUUUUGCUGUCACUUAUAGAUGGAUCCGCGCCGCAUUAGCUAGUUGGUAAGGUAACGGCUUACCAAGGCAACGAUGCGUAGCAGACCUGAGAGGGUGAUCGGCCACACUGGAACUGAGACACGGUCCAGACUCCUACGGGAGGCAGCAGUAGGGAAUCUUCCGCAAUGGGCGCAAGCCUGACGGAGCAACGCCGCGUGAGUGAUGAAGGUCUUCGGAUCGUAAAACUCUGUUAUUAGGGAAGAACAAAUGUGUAAGUAACUAUGCACGUCUUGACGGUACCUAAUCAGAAAGCCACGGCUAACUACGUG